GGAGCAUGUGGUUUAGUGGUAUGACAUUCGCUUAGCAUGCGAAAGGUCCGGCGUUCAAUUUGCCGCUUGUCCA
rnacentral:tRNA from 1 species